UACAGAGGUCUCAAGCGUUGUCCGGAUUUAUUGGGCGUAAAGAGCGUGUAGGCGGCCAGGUAGGUCUGCUGUGAAAACUCGAGGCUCAACCUCGAGACGUCGGUUGAAACCGUAUGGCUAGAGUCCGGAAGAGGAGAGUGGAAUUCCUGGUGUAGCGGUGAAAUGCGCAGAUAUCGGGAAGAACACCCGUGGCUAAGGCGGCUCUCUAGUACGGUACUGACGCUGAGACGCGAAAGCGUGGGGAGCGAACAGG
rnacentral:rRNA from 1 species